AGCGAACGCUGGCGGCGUGCCUAACACAUGCAAGUCGAGCGCGAAAGGAGCAAUCCGAGUAGAGCGGCGCACGGGUGCGUAACACGUGGGUAAUCUGCCUCAGGGUUGAGGAUAACCUUCCGAAAGGUUGGCUAAUACUCGGUAAGCUUACGGUGACUUCGGUCGCUGUGAGAAAACUAGACCUCUAUUUAUAAGUUUAGGCCCAGAGAUGAGCCCGCGGCCCAUCAGCUAGUUGGCGGGGUAACGGCCCACCAAGGCAACGACGGGUAGCUGGUCUGAGAGGACGAUCAGCCACACUGGAACUGAGACACGGUCCAGACUCCUACGGGAGGCAGCAGUGGGGAAUUUUCCACAAUGGGCGAAAGCCUGAUGGAGCAACGCCGCGUGUGUGAUGAAGGUCUUCGGAUCGUAAAGCACUUUCGACCGGGACGAAAAACCUUUGGCUAACAUCCAGGGGCCUGACGGUACCGGGAGAAGAAGCACCGGCUAACUCUGUGCCAGCCGCCGCUGUAAUAC
rnacentral:rRNA from 1 species